rnacentral:lncRNA from 1 species
CCUACUCACGUGAAGAUAAUGAGGAUGAAGACCUUUACGGUGAUCCACUUCCACUUAAUAAAUACUCCACUGAAGGCAUGGCUGACGUGGCUGCAGAAGAUCUUCAGGCAUGCAAAUCCCUAUGCCCAGCACAUUUCCGUGGACCCCUUCUGCUCCCUUGACAAUACUUGCUCCUUCCUACUCCACUCUUCACCUGGAUGGCCCUUCCCUUCAGGAUUCAGCUUGGGCCCAACUUCGCCUGGAUUAUCCUGCUCCUGUUUCCUCAGGAGCCAGCCGGAUGUGAACUCAAUAAGGGCAGAGAUUGUCCUCUUGUUGACUGAGGUAUGGCUGCUGCCUAGUGAACCUGGUUGCUGGAAGAGAAGGCUGGAGUACAGUGGCACAAACACAGCUCACAGCAUCAGCAUCUUUGAAAUCCUGGACCCAAGUAACACUCUCACACCAGCCUCCUGA